UGGCAUUUAAAAGCAUCUUAAAAAGCCAUAUAGCAAUGCAUAUAAAGGCAAGAGAAUAGAUCCAGACGAACCUUUCAACGUCUUCAACCCGAUGCUAAGAAAAAGAACUUCAUGUUUAUUUAAGAGAACUUCUCCUCAAGGUUCUGCACAAACACAGAGAGAAAAGAGCAGUUACUUAACCAUUGUAUUUAUCAUAUUUUGAUUCUGAUAUACAUUGAGACAUGCCGCCUAUAUUUCAUAUAAAUGAAAGACAUAGAAUGCCCAUUUGCACCUACCACAUGAUAUAAAAUUUCAUAUUGUAUAUUCCAUUGUCCAGUUCAUAAGUUGUUUUUCUUCCUAAUAUGUGAGGGAGAAUCCUUGGAAGCUAGAGUAUUUUCCUUUCAGCAUGUAUAUCUGUAAAUCGGUAAUCAAUGUAAAAUUUAGGGUUUAAGUGGAUACCAUGCGUAUUUGAAUGAAUUAACUGACUGCUGACAAACCGAACCAUUAACAAAACAAAACCCAGAGUUACAAGACAACUGACUCAGAUUGACAGUUUUAAUGCGGAACCAGACAAUGGAUUGUUUUUUAUUUUAUUUUAUCUGAAGAAGCCAGCUUUUAUAUUAUGUAGAUUUACACCAAGGGUAUUAGGAACAUGCAAACCAGCUCUGAAAGAUUAUAGAUGAACUGAUUAACCACAAAGAGAGGUUUCCGUUUUGUUUUAUUUUUACUUCAAAAGUUUCCACAUACGAGGCCAAGUUAUCAACUAGGGUAAAAUGCAAAUCACAUAUGUGCAGUUGUGCACUGCUUUAGUUAAGCAUUAUUACCUCUAAAAUUGAAAGUAUAUGCUCCGACCUUUUCACACAUCAUACUUUUUGUGACGAUAAUCAUGUACUGAGAAAAAUCCAACAUACGUCUUAUGAACUCUGAGAAGGUGUGAUUGGAAACUGUAGAACUCUGACAAAAGUAAAAAAAGAUUGUUUUAUUAAGCAUAUUUAAAUUCGGAUAUGAACUCUGAGAAGGUGUUAUUCUAAUAAGAAAGGUUGGGACCAUUCAUAAUCAGGAUCAUUGAAUUUCCAUAUGGCAUGGAUUAACACGGCACUAAGAUGUCAGGUUUUAGGUUUAGAAAUAUAACCUAAAGUCAGGCCCAAGCAAAUCCAGAGAAACUAAAAGAAGCUGGGUUCUGAAGAUGUUGCAAGCAUGAUCAUCUUAUAACCAACAAGCUGAAAAAUCACUAACACACCGUUCGGACAGGAAGGAGGAAGCAAACCUGAAUUCUGUUUCAUAUUCCAUUCUGCUUUGGAGAUCAAGCUUUCAAUGAAUGGAAUAUGCUCUUCUGUAAGAAAUUAACAAACUCUUGUUCUGAUUAUUACCUGCACAAUCUGAUUACAUAAAAAUUAGAUAAUUAUACACACUGACAGACAUGCCAUCAUCUUCCUUUUUUUUUUUUUUUCUAUUGGUCGCUCAAUAAUUUGGAGGCUCAACCUAGGGGCCAAUGACUCAUAACUCAUUCAAUAUUUUGGAGGCAAGCAACCUAAGGGCCUCCACACGGGCUAAGAAGAAUUUAUGGAGGCAAAGUUAGGGACACCUCAGAGAUGAUCCUUCACAUCGAAAGUCUUCAACGACUUUGGUGUAAGCAAUGGAAGAAGUACUCUUUUAUGAUGAAACGUUGAUAUAUAUUUUGCAACUGGUUGUCAGCCAAGGCAUCUUAAGGUGAUCCCUCAAAGUAGGAUCCUACCUCCUCCUUUUACUGUAGACCUCAUAAGCAAACAUGCUCAAAGAAUAUAAACAGACUAACAGAUCACAAAAUUAAUAUAAAAAAAACUCCAUUAAAAAAGGAAACUCAACUUAAAACAUUGGACAAGCACCGUCUACAAAGAUGUGAGAUGAUAGGCAUACUCACAGUAGGUUUCUGAUAUAAUAUCCCUCUAUUAGCUUCCACAAUCUAUGAAUGAUUUGCAUGAAAACAUACUAAAAGAGUGAACUAAAAAGAAAAUCAACCAUUAAAUAAAUAAUUUCAUAAAAUCCCACACAAACCCCUUAAUAAAUUAAAAUUUUAGUUUAAACAUAUCAUCAUAUAAGAGUUUGUAGAGUCAAAGACAUUCAAUCGUCCCUCGGGCUUAACCCCAAUAGGCUUUACUAUCAAUGUAUAAUGAAACAAAGGAUACACAGGGGGCGUACAGUCAAAUAAAUUUGUCAUAAAUAUAGUGUAGAGAUUUUCGGAGUUACACACCCCCAUUUCAAUUGUGGAAAUUAAACAUACCCCUCCCCCAUUUGAAAUUAGACAUACCUGAUACCCCCCCUAAUUCAUGCCAUGGUUGUAUCUGAACCCUUCAUCAUAAAGUGUUUCCAUAGCUAUAAUUAGUUGUUCUUGUGAAUUGGGAGGUAAUGAUCAUUUGACCUUUCACAUUAAGUUUCAUUGUCUACUGGACCUUGACAUGUGACUGAGAACAGAUUCAUAUAUAUAAAGAUAUAGAAUCUAAUUCUAUGGGAAAGGAUGAUUUCUUUCCGUACCCUAAAUUACAUAUAUCUGUAAUAUAUGGUUCUUAUGUACAAGACAUCUACAACUCUCAUAACAGCAUUCAGAUAUCAAUGAGUCAUGCAGAAUUAAAGCAUAUACCAUACCAACCUACAGUUUUGUCCAUCAUUGUGAUCAACAUACACAUAAUAAUCGGUUUCCUCCAUCCAAACAUAUGCAUAUAUUAUCGUGCAAAUUAAUAACUAAAACCAAAGGAAGAUUUGUACAAACCUUAUUGGCACCGAGACUCCCAAUCUAAGAUUAGCCUUACAAAAAACCUGGAGUAUUACAAGUAAUAUCUCAUACGCCCAAACCCUCAACAAUUAAGGUGUGAAAUCUUCUCGUAGUCCAACGAUGUUUGCAUUUUAAAGUUACCAACCACCAACAUCAAUUCAGGGUUCCCACCUUUCAAAACCAAAUAUCAAUUACAACAAUUCAGAAUCUUCCUACUAUGGAAGAAAAUAAUCAAUGAUUUUAUUAAGUUUUAAUAUAAACGAAAAAACCAGAGAUGUAUAGGUUUUGGGUCGGACAAACUUUACUGCAUCAAUGUAUGUUAUUCACCCGCGCUUUGUAGCGAAUGUGAUGGUAUACAUACCAGUGAAACUAUUGCGGUUAAAAAUAUCUCGUGGCAUAAUCCACAUUCUAGCGCAAUGUGUGGGAGUUGUGGAAGGUGCACUUGCACUAAAGGCUGUCGCCAGUAGCUUCAUAGAGCACACCUUUUUACUAGAGGCAUGCACCUUAAUUGUUAUUGCCUCAGGCCCCAACGACCCAUUGAGGUCAGUAUUGAGACAAGCCCAAUACUCUGGCUUGAAAUAAUGUGUACCCUUCUUUUUUGCUUCAGCAAGGUUUGCAUUCCAUGGACCUGUGACCGUCUUCACCAUCAUUGGCUUAAUGGCUUAACACUCAGGGUUACUCACAAUAAGCUCCAUCAUCUAUGAAUGAUGUGCAUGAAAACAUGUUAAAAAGAGUGAACAAAUAACUAAAUCAUAUAAUUAUUGAUUAAUAAUUUCACAAAAUCUCCACCAAAAAAAGUCAUUUGCACAUGUCAUCAAGCUUGCACAACCUAUAGAGAUGUGGGAGAAUCCCCAGGCAGCCAAUUCACAAUAAGUUCUAACAAUAUUUCAAACCCUCAUUAAGCUUCAAUACAAAUAUUUAUACUGCGCAUAUCGACAUGCUCGAAAAAAAAAAUAGAUAUAAAAUCAAUAAAGUUUAAUAAAUUAAACUUGUGUAAAAUUACAAUAAAAUUAUAUCAAUAACUUGGUAAUAUAUAUAGAAACUAAAGUUUUUUAAAGGGGCUCAGAUUUGCGUUUUUAUAUUCAGAAUGAAAGAAAGGAAAAGAAGAUGUCCACUUUGCACAUGGAUGGCUGCAACAAAACAAAUAUUUACCUUGCCAACACAUAGGAAGAAGACAUUACUACUAGUCCUUUCUCACAAGUCUGAAUCUUGAAAGUGGAACUUAGAAUCAUCAUAGCCCAUCAUAAAGGAAGAAGAGAUGAUAAAGUCCAAACAUGUCAACAAGCACAACCAACAUAGAUGUGGCUUAAUCAUGGUAAGCUACUGAUGAUACAGUUUUUAUGCAUCCAUAAGCUUUAACAUAAUACAUGUCGUGCAUGAAAAUAUGGUUUAAUUAACAAAAGAAAGUUCAAUAAAAAAUAUAAUAGAUUAAUAUAAAAAUAAUUUAGUAAUAUACAGAAAAAACUCAAGCUUGAACAUGGGACCAAGCACAUUCUAAAAAUAUAUGAGAUGAUUUCCUAGGCUUAUAAAAAUCAAUAUGUGGAUGAAGAGAUGAAGAUAAUAUAAUAUAAAAAUCAAAAGUACAUCAAUAACUUAGUAAUAUAUAUAGAAAAAUCCAGUUUAACCAUGUCAACAAGCACAACCUACAGAGAUGUGAGAUGAUCCCCAUUCCCCAGGGCUUAGUCACAGUUAGCUGCUGAUUAUAAGCUUUUUAUCCCUCCAUAAGCUUCAACAUCAAUGUAUUAUGUGCAUGAAGACAUGGUUUAAGAAAAUAAAGUUAUACAAAAAAUAAGCAACAAAAAUACAUAAAUAACUUCAUAUUAUAUAGAGAAAACUCAAGUUUAAACAUUGCCAUCAAGCACAUCUUACAGAGUUGUGAGAUAUUCUCCUGGACUUUAUUAACUGUAAGCUAUAGUUAAAACAUCAAUGUUAACUUUAUAAUAGAUAGAGAAAACUCAAGAAAAGUCAAAAUUAAAUCAACCAUUAUCACCAUCAUUAAAAAACUCUCUAUACAAGUAAAAUCCAAUCAAGCAAAAGUCCAAGUAGAAUCAAAUUAAGCGACAUGAACAUUCCAGGAAACACAUAGAGAUCAAUGCAACCCCACCCCAUCUUCCUUACAACACUCUCUCAAUAUCAGAAAUUAAAACUUCAAUUAAGUGAUCAAUUGCAAAAUAUGCAAUGGAAUUAAAAAAAAAAAAAAAAAAACCAGAUUUAUAGCAAAUAAUCUACGAUCAGAUACCAACCAUUAUCAUCAUAGUUAAAAACCCUCUAUACACACUUUCCUUGCAACGAAUUGAACUUUAGAUAUAGAUUUUUCUCCUAAAACCUUCUCCUAAAACCUUAUUGAAAACCUUGAUCCCGAGCCAAACCCCUUUGUAAUUUUAGCAAUAAAAACGAAAUAUAACCAAAGAAACCCUAAUAAUCUAAGUGAAGCGAGAGAGAGAGAGAGAGAGAGAGAGAGAGAGAGAGAGAGAGAGAGAGAGAGAGAGAGAGACUUAUCUUCCCGAUGAGAGAGAAGGAGAAACCAAGAACCAGGCACCGCACUUGAAUCUGUGAGCAGAGAAAAGUCUUCUCAGAAGACUAUAGUUUCAGGUAUAUAUAAGUUAUCAGAUCAUCUGUAUUUUUGGAAAUAUAAGUGGGAUUGCGUAUAAACAACGCACCGCCAAAAGUCUGCUUUUUCAAGACGCAACUCUGAUUAUAACUUCGCGUAAGAUAAACGCAAAGUCUUUAACCGCUUAUCAAAUACGCGGACGUUUUGUUAAAUACGCGGACGUUUUGUUAAAUACGCGGUCGAGUCAUUAAUUGCUUAUCAAUACAGUAUUUGGGUAAUCCUGGAACCGUUGGGUUUGGGCUUAAGGCUUUUAUGGGCGCCCAAACAAAAGUUCAUCCAAAAGACCACAACCUCGCGCCAUUAGAAGAUUUCAAAUUCAAAUAAAGAAAUUCGAGGCAUAGACCACGCGCCAAUACUCUUCUAGACAUUCUUUAGGACCUGAAGUUCCCACUUACCUCUGAUCCUAUACUCAGGCACAACUUAUCGAGCCACGGCCCUUGGCAGGGGUAGUAGAAGUUGCAACUCACUAUAGUACUAUCUUCAAAGAAUUACGCCAGUGCAAUUAAUUUCUCAAUUAAACUUGUGCCUAGAGUUCUAUGAUCACAAGCGAAAUUCUUUCAUUACUCUGUAAUACUAAUCAUAAAUCACCUACAAAACACAAUAGUUUUCAGUUAGUACUUGAGACAACUCCAAUGAAUCUGCUUUAGACAUUUUGUUAUAUAUCGAUAUCAUGCCUAUUAAAAUUUAUCUCCUUCACCAUGAGUAGCCAUCAGCCUCCCAAGACGUAUGCCGACUAAUGACUAUGUUACAACAGUUUAAGUGUAUAACACAAAGCCUUCAUCAUCUCUCUUUUUAUUGCUUCGUUUUUGUUUUAUUCCCUUUCUAACUUUUAAUUGCGAUUAGUAAACAGAAAAACUAAAGCAUAAAAGAACUGAGGUCAAAUAAGUAGAGAAUUUCAAGGAGAUUUCUAUGCAUGCCAAAAUAGAGGCCCAACACAAAACAAACUGAAGGUGUGUAAAUCCUAUCAAAUAUUAUACUCGUAGGAUUUAGUUAAGAAAUACGCAUUCCAAUUCUUAAGGCAGAAUUCCCUUUCUACACGUCACACAUCAAAGCAAUUUGACCUUGAAUGACGAGUUCAGGUGGAUCGCUUGACUUCCAUAUGCAAAGAGUGCUUGCCUAUGAUCUCCCAAGUGGAGGGGUCAAGUCAGCAUCAUAAUUUGUGGUCAAACACAUACCCUGCCAAACGAAAAUGCCAAAUCUUACUCCAUCAUCCGGUGCCCCAUAAUACAACACUAUUUUUUCAUCUAUAAAAUUUGCACGGAACAGCCAAAUGUUCAUUCCACCAUAAUACUACACUAAUUUAUUUAUCUAACUUACAUGCCUCAGCAUGAUAUUGAAGUUUUGUUCAUACAAUCAGUGAUUGGAUCAUAAUGCAGUAUCUAUAUCUACCCCAGCGCAACAACAACCUUCUCAAAGCAAUCUAAUGAUAUGUCUAUAUACUCCAGCAUUCUAGUUUAAAGAGACUAAUCUUAUAUUCCUGUAAAUAACAAAAAUACAAAAUCCCCUUUUAAAUGGAUUAAAUGCAAUCUAGUAAUGUGUCUAUAUAUGAGUUCAAUCACCCUUUUUACUGUAACUUGAAUCUAGUCCCCUAAUUUCACACUUAAUAACUUUUUUUUUAUUGGAGAAAAUGUUGUGGUAAACCUGUUUUUAAUGAGAUCAGUAACUCGGUAAUGCUGGCGGGAUUCGAACCCCAAACCUCUGCUAUCAUCACCCAAAGUUUUACCAGUUGAGCCCAACUGACACUUUCCACACUUAAUAACUUGCAUCUCAAGUACAAUCAAAAUCUCUCAAAGGUGUGCUCAGACAAAAUGGUGAAUAAAAUGCAAAUUAAGAGGGGGAAAAAAGGAGGCAAAUGCAAUACCUUUUCAAAGUAGUGGUGUGGUCCAAAAACCCCUUGUAACAACUCAUACCAGCAAAAUUCAUUUAUACUUUUGGGGUCCUGUCAAUUAUAACGAAAAAUGUCUUGGCUAUGGUAUUUGUUCAGAAAGUCUAACUGCAACUUUCCAUUUUAUGUAGUUCUUAAAGCAUAUGGAAGUUGUAAGCUGAAAGUUCGUUCCUCCUAGACUUCUCAGUGUAUUCGAUUAUGCACACGGUUGGCAUUUAUAAGCAACACAGGAAGCCACACAACAAUACAUUUAGAGGCAAGAGACUACAAGUCCAGACAAACCUUUCAACGCCUAUAAGCUGAAGCUUAGAGGAAGAACUUCGUGCUUAUUGCUUAUUUAAGAGAAAUUAUCCUCAAGGUUCUGCACAAACACAUAGCGAAAAGAGCUGUUAGUUAGCCACUGUAAUAUCAAACAUAGAUUCUGAUAUACAUGGAGACAUGCCGCCUAUAUAUUUCAUAUAUGAAAGACAUAAAAAUCCCCAUUGGACGUAUCAUAGGAUACACAAUUUCAUAAUAUAUAUCAUUCACUUCAUCAUGUUCUUUUCUGCCCACUGAAGUGUGAUGACAGAAUUUCAUAAUAUCUGCAAUUCAGAACCAGGAUCAUUGAGUUUCCAUCUGGUCCUUCCUAACACUGCAAUAAAAUGAAAAAAUCGGGUUUUAGGUUUAGAAAUAUUACCUAAAGUCAUGCCCAAGCACAUCCAGAGAAACUAAAAGCAGUUGGGUUCUGAAGAUGUUGCAAGCACGAUCGUCUUAUAACCAACAGGCUGAAAAUUCACUAACAAACAGUUCAGACAUGAAGGAGGAAGCAAACCCGAAAUUCCGUUUCAUAUUCCAUUCUGCUUUGGAGAUCAAGCAUUCAAUGAAUGGAAUAUGCUCUUUUGUAAGAAAUCAACAAACACUUGUUCUGAUUAUUGCUUGCACAAUCUGAUUAUAUAAAAAUUAGAUAAAUAUACACACUGACAGACAUGACAUCAUCUUCCUUUUUUUUUUUUUGCUUCUGGGAUAUGGGUCACUCAAUAAUUUGGAGGCUCAACCUAGGGGCCAAUGGCUCAUAACUCAUUCAAUAUUUUUGGAAGCGAGCAACCUAAGGGCCUCCACAUGGGCUAAGAAGAUGUUGUGGAGGCCCUUUGGUUAGGGACACCUCGGAGAUGAUCCUUCAGAUCGAAAGUCUUCAACGCCUUUGGUGUAAGCAAUGGAAGAACUACUCUUUUAUGACCACACAUUGAUGUAUAUUUUGCGACUGGUUGUCAGCCGGGGUAUUUUAAGGCGAUCCCUCAAAGUGGGAUCCUACCUCCUCCAUUUACAGUAGAUCUCACAAGCAAACAUGCUCAAAGAACGUAAACAGAUCAAUAGAUCUCAAAUUAAUAUGAAAAAAACUCCAUUGAGAAAGAAAACUCAACUUAAAACAUUGGACAAGCACAAUCAAUAAAGAUGUGAGAUGAUUGGCAUACUCACAGUAAGUUUCUGAUAUAAUAUCCCUCUAUAGCUUCCAUAAUCUAUGAAUGAUUUCCACGAAAACAUGCUAAAAAAAGUGAACCAAAAAGAAAAUCAAUCAUUAAAUAAAAAACAUUCAUAAAAUCCCCCCCAUACCCCUUAAACAUUUUGAAUUUAAACAUGUCAUCAUAUAAGAGCUUGCAGAGUCAAAAGACAUUCAAUCGUCCCUCAGGCUUAACCCCAAUAAGCUUUACUAUCAAUGUAUGAAACAAAGGAUACACAGGGGGCGUACAGUCAAAUAAAUCUGACAUAAAUAUAGUGUAGAGAUUUUCGGACUUACACACCCCUAUUUCAAUAGUGGAAAUUAGACAUACCAUUCCCCCAUUUGAAAUAAAAUUAGACAUACCUGAUACCCCACUAAUUCAUGUCGUGGUUGUAUCUGAACCUUCAUCACAAAGUGAUUCCACAGCUACAAUUAGAUGUUCUUGUGAAUUGGGAGGUAGUGAUCAUUUGACCUUUCACAUUAAGUUUCAUCGUCUACUGGACCUUGACAUGUGACUGAGAACAGAUUCAUAUAUAUAAAGAUGUAGAAUCUAAUUCUAUGGAAAAGGAUGCCUUCUUUGCGUACCCCAAAUUACAUAUAUCUGUAAUAUAUGGUUCUCAUGUAUGAGACAUCUACAACUCUCGUAACAACAUUCAGAUACCAAUGAGUCCUGCAGAAUUAAAGCAUCUACCAUACCAACCUACACUUUUGUCCAUCAUUGUGAUAAACAUACACAGAAUAAUCGGUUUCCUCCAUCCAAACAUAUGCAUAAUUAUCGUGCAAACUAAACAAAAGGAAGAUUUGUACAAACCUUAUUGGCACUGAGACUCCCAAACCGAAUUGAGGCUUUCAAUUCCUGAAACCCUAUUGGCACUGAGACUCCCAAUCUAGGAUUAGCCUUAACAAAAAUUUGGUGUAAUAUCUAGCUCAGACGCCCAAACCCUCAACAAUUAAGGUGUGAAUUCUUCUCGUCGUCUAACGAUGUUUGCAUUUUAAAGUUACUAACCACCAACAUCAAUUCAGGGUUCCCACCUUUCAAAACCAAAUAUCAAUUACAACAAUUCAGAAUCUUCCUACUAUGGAAGAGAAUAAUCAAUGAUUUUA
rnacentral:lncRNA from 1 species